UAAGAAAUGGUCUAAAAACACUUAAGGU
rnacentral:sRNA from 1 species